rnacentral:rRNA from 1 species
ACGGAGGGUGCAAGCGUUAUCCGGAUUCACUGGGUUUAAAGGGUGCGUAGGUGGGUUGGUAAGUCAGUGGUGAAAUCCCCGAGCUUAACUUGGGAACUGCCAUUGAUACUAUUAGUCUUGAAUACCGUGGAGGUCGGCGGAAUAUGUCAUGUAGCGGUGAAAUGCUUAGAUAUGACAUAGAACACCAAUUGCGAAGGCAGCUGGCUACACGAGUAUUGACACUGAGGCACGAAAGCGUGGGGAUCAAACAGGAUUAGAUACCCUGGUAGUCCACGCCCUAAACUAUGGAUACUCGACAUUUGCGAUACACAGUAAGUGUCUGAGCGAAAGCAUUAAGUAUCCCACCUGGGAAGUACGAUCGCAAGAUUG